UACUCCACAACCUAAAUUCAAGGCUGCUGCUAGGUGGAUUGUUGUUAAGGUUUGAGAUGAAUUUUCUUUGAAGUCAGUAGUUGAUGAGCAAGACUAUGAAGGCAUGUCUGAAGAGGAUUUGUACGGUGAAGAGGAUGUGUAUCAGGAACACAAAUCUGAUGGAGGCAUGUUUCAAGAUAAUUUGUAUGAUGAAGAAGAAUUGAAUGGAGGCAACUUUGAAGAUGAUGUCUACAAGGAAGAAGAGUUAGAUGGAGGGUUGUUUGAAGAAGAUGGUAUGAGGAAGAAGAUGCAUAUGAAGAUGAGGGUGGUGAUAUGAUGUUUGAAGGUAAUGGUGUGUUCCAUUGUACAAAGGCUACUAUAAUUCGGCAUGUGAAUGUGAAUGACAUAUUUUGUCUUGACCUAAAUAGCUUGGGGGGAUGAGAAAAUACAUAAAUGUUUUUAAUAAUGAUCACAAUCAUGAAUUGUUGUGUGGUGUGCAUGUGGGAAUGGUAGCUAAUCAUAUAAGGAUGUAAUGUUUUGAUAUCAUGCAAAUGAAUAGCAUGAGAAAAGCAGGUAUUAGUGUGUACCUCAUAUAUUUAAUGCAUUUGUCAAUUAGUUGGGAGGCUACACAAAUGUUCUGUUUUGGGCCUAAGAACAUGUGUAAUCAAGUUCAGAAACAACAACAGUUACAAGGAUCGAAUGGUGCUAGUGCAAUAGAAUAUUUACAUUGGUUGAGUUUAAA